AUUGAACGCUGGCGGCAUGCCUAACACAUGCAAGUCGAACGGUAACGCGGAGAGCUUGCUCUCUGGCGACGAGUGGCGGACGGGUGAGUAAUACUUAGGAAUCUGCCCAGUAUGGGGGGACAACAUUCGGAAACGGAUGCUAAUACCGCAUACGCACUACGGUGGAAAGUGGGGGACCUUCGGGCCUCACGCUAUUGGAUGAGCCUAAGUCGGAUUAGCUUGUUGGUAGGGUAAUGGCCUACCAAGGCGACGAUCCGUAGCUGGUCUGAGAGGACGAUCAGCCACACUGGGACUGAGACACGGCCCAGACUCCUACGGGAGGCAGCAGUGGGGAAUAUUGGACAAUGGGCGCAAGCCUGAUCCAGCAAUGCCGCGUGUGUGAAGAAGGCCUGCGGGUUGUAAAGCACUUUCAGUAGAGAAGAAAAGCCCAGGGUUAAUAACCCUGAGUCUUGACGUAACCUACAGAAGAAGCACCGGCUAACUCCGUG
rnacentral:rRNA from 1 species